CCUACGGGAGGCAGCAGUGAGGAAUAUUGGUCAAUGGUCGUAAGCCUGAACCAGCCAAGUAGCGUGAAGGAUGACGGCCCUAGGGGUUGUAAACUUCUUUUAUACGGGAAUAAAGUGCGGCACGUGUGACGUUUUGUAGGUACUGCAUGAAUAAGGAUCGGCUAAUUCCGUGCCAGCAGCCGCGGUAAUACGGAGGGUCCGGGCGUUAUCCGGAUUUAUUGGGUUUAAAGGGAGCGUAGAUGGCAGGUUAAGCGUGGUGUGAAAUGCGGUGGCUCAACCGUAGAAUUGCUGUGCAUACUGGCAGGCUUGAGUGCAGGUGAGGUAGGCGGAAUUCGUGGUGUAGCGGUGAAAUGCUUAGAUAUCACGAAGAACUCCGAUUGCGAAGGCAGCUUACUAAACUGCCACUGACGUUGAGGCUCGAAAGCGUGGGUAUCAAACAGGAUUAGAUACCCGUGUAGUC
rnacentral:rRNA from 1 species